AGCAAGAGUAAGAAGUAUUGGCAGCAGCAAGCAGGCGGGCAGGCUGAGAUCUUGCAUGGAAAUCAUGAACCCGGUCUUGCUUUUCGUUUUUGAAACGUUUUGGAAGGAGAGUUAUGAAUAGCCCAGAAAUAGGUCUCAUUUUGUGGGUAGGAAGAAUGAGCAGACGCAUGAAAGCUAAAUCUCCUGGCAAGUGCAGGGGACCACUCUUGGAGUGUGCAGUAAACCCGAGGGGAGGACUUCGCCUGCUGUGAACUCCUGAACCAUCACAUCUGGAGUGAAGGGGCUGGUGAAGCCUUGUAAUAAAUGCAAAGGAUGCUGCUGAGAGCUUUGGUCUGCCUUUAACUCAUUGUGAUGCUACUCCCAGUCUUCACUGAGAAACUGCUCUAACCAGUGAAAGACAGUGAAUGAAGAAAUGCCUGGCUGCUCGAGACACCGAGAGUGACAGCUGCGUGCUCAGCUCAGGAGGACGUUCAUAUCCUUCUUCAAGGCUCUAGGAACAAAGCGUGGUGAUGACAGGAAGACAGUAAGAGCCCAGGACAUAGGGAUGGGAGCUAUGAAGCUCUGUGUUGUACCAAGGACACAAUCAAUGUAAUCGCGGCACCAUAACAGAGGUCAGCAGUGGGUUGGUGCAAUACUGAGCGGUUCAGCAUUCAUUCAUUCAUAUACAGAGAGGGCCCAUGCAGCCACAUCCUCUCUGCUGAAUUAUAAGCUACUGAUGGAUUGUGGGAGAAACAGACAUUCUCUUCAGCCCUGUGCCCACUUCUGAGUUCACCAGGGUAAAGUGAGUAGUAGCUAAUCCAUCGACACAGACGGCCCUGAUUAAACGCAGUGAGUUAGG
rnacentral:lncRNA from 1 species